UCCGCCGGAGCGCAUGCGCGCGCCUCCGGCCCCCCGCGCAUGCCCCGUAAGCUCCCUCGGGUGUCCUCGCAAGGUCCUAAAUCCGUUACCCCCGGUGUUCGUGGGUGACUUAGGGGAACCCUCGCGGAUUGAGCCCGCAAAGCUGAGCUGCAAGAAGGGAAGCGGAGAUUGCUCUGUUGUGUUAGGAGGCAUUGGUGACAACCGGUGUGUUUCCAGUCUGUCACCAAAGAGCCCCCCCGGAAGCCUGCCAAGUCCAAGGUGGCAAACGCCCCAGUGCGGGCUGGAAGUCGCCGUGUGGCUUUCCGACUGAAGAUACACCUGAAAUGUAAGCGCACGUACAAUUGUGCACUUUGUUUUUAUUAACUUACUGUGAACAGAAAAUGUUCAUGUAGGUGUGACGCUGAGAGAAAGGACCACCAAACCUUUAAAGGGACUUAGAGCCUCAGAACCAGAGCCUACCGUGUUGCAUCUCCGACAGAAUGCACAGAGAACCGAUAUUGCCCCGUCUGGCGAUGAAGGUUCUAGAUCUUGUUUGGGCAGACCUAAGAAGAAUGGCACAAAGGCCCUGACCAAAGGAAAUGGACAUCCCCUCUUCACCUGUAAUUCCACCCUCGUCAUAACUCACACAUAACUAGGAAUCUGAAAAAGGCUACCCUCUCAUUAGAAGAUACAGGGUUGCCAGGCCGUGGUGGCGCACGCCUUUAAUCCUGGUACUCAGGGAGGCAGAGGCAGGCGGAUCUCUGUGAGUUCGAGGUCAGCCUGGUCUACAGAGUGAAUUCCAGGAGAGCCAGGGCUGUUACACAGAGAAACCCUGUCUUCAAAACAAAACAAAACAAAAAGAUAUAGGGUGAGGAAAUACCCAGGAGGAGGGGAAGUGGGAGAAUACCUCAACUUUGUUUCCCUUAGUAUGGAUGGGUGCACAUUGCAAUGAAGGUGCUUUGUAGAUCUACUGAACAGACUGAUGUAGAUAACUCUCUAGGAAUGUGGUACACCCUGUCUUAUCAGUUGGCAAAGACGGACAUUGGCCAAAUAAGCAAUUCCUCUCUCACCAUUCGACAGGGAAGCCCCGAAUGUGUUUUCACCCCAGAACAAUUCAAAGCGAAGCCUGGAUGGUCAACUCUUACCUAAAUUUCAAGCCCAUUUGGCUUGGCUUGUGGAUUUUACACUUGCCAGUCCCCACAGCUGAAUGAAAAAAAUGAAGACAAGACGGCUUCUAGCUAUGGUUGAGGAGAAGGUUUAUUUUAGAUGUGAGGGAAGAAACAACCAGAAGCAUCUAGAAGGGUCCAAACUGAACCAGGCCUGCAGACUGAACCGGGCCACGGGGAGCAGGGAAGAAGACAGAGCAGAGAGGAGUUGCAGACCUAGAGGCCGUGAGCAGGCCAGGAGACCAAACAGCCGAGAGACCUUGCAGCCCAAACGUUUGGAUUAUACGGUGUCAGAGAAGCGGGGGAAAAGGAAGGGAAACUCAAGGGCUGGGAAGAUUUAGGGUAGGGGGCAGGGUAUGUCAGUCAGGAUAACUGUACAGUACUGGGUGCUUGUGAUGCUGAGAAUACGCACUUCAGUUAGCCAUUUGUCCUGAAUGUGAGACCUAACAACAACUCCGUGACCUAGUCCCUGGAUUAAAUCACGUCAAUCUUACCUGUCUAUCCUAUUGUUUGUGGGUUGUUUUUUUUUUUUUUUUUUUUUUUUUUUUUUUUUUGGAAAACACUGACUAACUCACAAGUGAUAAAAAGUAAGAAGCAAAAGUUAAAAAGAACGUCUUGACAAUUUCCUCAGUCCUGUACCACUGAGAAGGUAGCAAGUUGGGUAAGGGCAGGGUAAGGACAGAGCCGAGGGAGCAGCCAAGAAGGAAAGAUCUUCCCACAGAUUCCCAGUGUCUUUGUGUUGCUGAUAUGUCCUGGUCUUAACACCCUCGAAAGAUGUUUCAUGAGUUUGUCACUAAAAAUGAAAAGGCUUUUCUUCAUUGAUUCAUUUAAAUGUCUAUGGAAAAAUUGUAUUGUGACUGGAAUGUGACAUUUCUAGUUUAGUAAACAGGCUUUUCAAUAGCAUGACAAAUAAAAUGCCUAGGAAUGAUCUUAAUUAUAAUCAACUUGUUUGCAAAUUCUCUGCAAUUGGGCUAAAAAAAAAAUUUCUGGGGUCAGUUACUAAUCAUUUUCCUUUUCUCCUUUUCUGCGUUUUUAAAAGCUCAUAGUAUGUAAGAAUCCUUUUACGCCAUAAACCACACAAAGGCCUGACAUUGGUUAAAUUUGGCUUAACAGCCAUUGUUCUCUGAACUCUCAGACACACUCAGAAAAAUAACAACCAAAUAACUGAAGAUUGUUCUCCUAGACCCUCUGUGCUGGAUAACAAAACUCCAAACUGGAUAAUUUAUCAACUAUAAUUUCACUUCUCACAUUUCUAGAGUGUGGGAAAUCCAAAAUUGAAUGAAGUGUUGGCAUUCGGUGUCCUGUAAGGGCCCAUUUCCCUCCUCAUUUCCCUCCUCUAUCCUUACACAGAAAAAGAGAUUAUCUCUUGUGAUAAGUGGCAGAAAGGUUUUUUAAAAGUCCUAGAACAGUUCCACUCAACCCUUUAAAGUCAUGUUUAUUCAUGAAAUGACUGAGCUCUUGUGUCAGUCAGCAUUCUGGGAUGGGGCAUUCACCGUAAUCACAAAAGGAAAAAUCACUAUUGCAAAGAUGUGUUCAAAUUACUAGAGUCAAAGACUUCAGUAAAUUAGACUUCAUAUUGAACUCCCCCUCCCCAUUAGCAUAUAUACAUAGUAUAUGGCAUUGGAAUACAUAAGCAUAUGCUCCUAAAAUAUAUAAAGUACUUUGAGCAUAUUCCUACUAAUGCUUCCAUACUCUCCCCUUUCUUCCCUCUUCCCCUGUGGCAGUACAAUAUUCUGAAAGUAUCUUUUACAUUCUAAGAGACUGGAACUUUUGCUGGACCUCACAGCCAGAGUUAAUAAUGUACCUUGAAGUUGCUUAAAAUUGCUAGUCUACUGAGUACUCAAGCUAUUUGUUUCACCUUCCUUUAAGAGAACAAUCUAAAAACUAACCUUACUUGCCUUGACUUUCCCAUGUAAUCAACUUUUACAACCUAAGCUAAUGUAUAGCCAUAAUCUUACUCUUCCAUACCCGUGACCCAGAAUCAUACAUGUACAUCAUUUGCUGAAAGCAGCAAAUACAGAAAUUAAAAGCAUCUCCCUACCAGAAAGGAUGAAAACAACCAUUUAUGGAUAUUGCUUGACAAACAACGAUGUUCGUUAUCUGGGUCAUUUGAGAUCUAUUGAAACCAGUGACUUAAUCCCUUGUAAAACUCUGUUAAAGUUUUCUGUAAAGUGUCCUAUUCCCCCACGUGAUGCUUCCUAUGCCAUUCAAUAAAUACAGAGCAAAGUCCUUUGUUAGGGACAGGUGCAUAGCACAGACAGACACAAAAGGACAAACAGAUUCACAAGAUGGCCUUUAGGCAGACACAGAGUCAGACUCACAACAGACAGGAUGGAAGACACAGAGAACAUGAGACAGAGAAUUCAAAUCUGGACUCACUCUUGGUUAAAUGACUCCAGGGAGAAGUGCUCCCAUAUCUUUCCUUAGUAUGACGCUGAUGCAUUAUUGGUGACUCAGAGUUAAUCUGUAAUGAGUAUAAUCCAAGCAUCCCUCUUCCUAUUACUGCCUUUGUUCCAUAAACAGUUUGUUUCUACUUUCAUGUCAUGUGUAUAGAUGACUUUAUAAGUUUAUUUGAAAUCUAGGAACCACAAAUGAGAGAAGACAUAUAAUAUGUGUCUGAGCUUGACUUAAUACCCACUUUCAUCCACUUUCCUACAGAUGACAUGUUCCUUUAUAUAUAGAUAACUUUAUAUAAUGAUGGUGGAAAUGUAAACUAGUCAACCAGUAUGGAACCCAGUAUGGUGGUUCCUCAAAACACUAAAAUUAAAUCUACCAUAUUCCCCAGCUAUUCCAUGCCAGAGUAAUUACUCAAUGGAUCCAAAUCAACACGUCACAUAGACACUUGCACAUCAUUGUUAUGUAAAGAACUAUUAGUGGUAUCAAUAUGUAGAAACAACCUAGGUGUCCAUGAACAUUCUUUAAUUAUAGGUAUGCCUAUGUGCCUGUGUGGGUAUGUGCAUAUGAAUGUAGCUGCAUGUGGAGGCCAGAAGAGGGCACUAGAUUCCCCAGAGCUGGAGUUACAGACAGUUGUGACGUGCUUCACAUGCAAACUGGACUACAGUCUUCUGCAAGAGCAGCAAGUGCUCUUAGCCUCUGAUCCAUUUCUCCAGCCUAGACCAUCAAGAGUUUUAACUUUUUUCCCAAAGGACAAUCCAUGGAUUAGAAAAAGAAGGCAGUUGAAAUAUGUAUCAGACAAAGAAACUACAUCUAGAAUGUCAUAAGGAAAGCUAAUAAAAAUGGUAAAAUAUGUAGAGCUAUAGAGUAUAAAGUAAGAAAACACUGGAAAAGACACUUCAUUAAAAGAUAAGCACAGAGAUCUUUAUAUUUAGUUUCAUUCUAUUAUAAUACUAGAAUAUAUGCACACUAUAUUAUUAUAUUAUAACAGAACAUACACAGACACUAUAUCGAGUGUUGGUGAGUAUGCGGGUUGUUUUUUGUGUCAACUUGACAAACUAGAGCAAUUUUAGAAGACAGAUGUUCAAUUGAGAAAAUACCUCCUUGACAGCUGGUUGUACACUUUGGAAAUCAGUAUGGUGGUUUCUCAGAAAAUUGGAAAUUAAUCUACCUCAAGACCCAAUGAUACUACUCUUGGACAUAUACCCAAAGGAUGCACAAUCAUACGACAAGGACAUUUGCUCAACUCUGUUCAUAGCAUCAUUAUUCAUAAUAGCCAGAACCUGGAAACAACCUAGAUGCCCCUCAACUGAAGAGUGGAUUAAAAAAAAAAGUGGUACAUUUACACAAUGGGGUAUUACUUAAUGAUAAAAAAACAAUGACAUCGUGAAAUUUGCAGGCAAAUAGAUGAAACUAGAAAAAAAAAAUCCUGAGUGAGGUAACCUAGACCCGGAAAGACAAACACAGUGGUAUGUACUCAAUCAUAAGUGGAUAUUAGACAUAAAGCAAAGGAUAACCAUGCUACAAUCCACAACCCCAGAGAAACUAGCUAACGAGGACCCCAAGAGGGGCAAUUGGGAACUCGGGGGCAGGGGGUUAAGAAGGGGCAGGGAUGAGAAUAUGAGAUAGUGGGAUGGUUGAGUUUGGGGAGGGACAGAGAGGGAGAGCAAGGAAAGAACUAUCUAGAUAGAGGGAGCCAUUAUGGGGUUAGGGUAAAACCUGGUGCUAGGGAAAUUCCCAGGAAUCCACAAGGAUGACCCCAGCUAAGAUUCCAAGCAGUAGUGGAGAGAAUGCCUGAACUGGCCUUCCCUGUAAUCAGAUUGAUGGCUACCCUAAUUGUCAUCAUAGAACCUUCAUCCAGUAACUGAUGGAAGCAGAUGCAGAGAUCCACAGCUAAGCACUCUCAAAGUCCAGUCAAAAAGAGAGAGGAGAGAUUAUAAGAGCAAGGGGGUCAAAAUCAUGAUGGGGAAAACCCACAGAGACAGCUGACGGAAGUUAGUGGGAGCUCACAGACUCUAGACUGACAGCCGGGGAAUCUGUAUAGGACCAAACUAGGCCCUCUGAAUGUGAUGUGGGUGACAGUUGUGGGGCUUGGGCAGUUUGUGGGGCCCCUGGCAGUGAGAUCAAGGUUUAUCUCUAGUGCAUGAUCUGGCUUUUUGGAGCCCAUUCUCUAUGGAAGGAUACCUUGCUCAGCCUUGAUGCAGCAGGGAGGGGCAUGGUUCUGCCUCAACUUGAUAUGCCAGACUUCGUUGACUCCCCAUGGGGGGGCCUUACCCUCCCUGAGGAGUGGAUGGGAGGGAAAGAAGAAGGGGAGGGGCGGGAGGAAAAGGAAGGGGAACUGAGUUUGGUAUGUAAAAUGAAAAAAAAAUCUUCAAAAUCUGGCUGUAGGCAGACCUGUAGGGCAUUUUCAUAAUUAGUGAUUGAUGUGGGAGGGGUCAACUUGUGCACAGUGCCAUCCUGUGCUCUAACAAAGCAGGCUGAACAAACCACAAGGAGAAAACCAGGAAGCAGCAUUCCUCCAUGGCAUCUACUUCAGACCUGCUUCCAGAUUCCAAUCUUGCAUUCUUGACCUAACUUUCUUUGAUGAUAGACUGUGAUGUGAAAGUGGAAAUAGAAUAAAUCCUUUUCUCGCCAGGUUGUUAGGAUGAUGGGUUGCUCAUAGUCAUGGAGUCUUAUCACAGCAAUAGGAACCUAACUAACUAAGGCAGUGAUUGUAUUAGUUACUUUUCAGUUGUGAGAUGACACCAUGACCAAGGCAACUCAUCAAAGAAAGUGUUUCAUUUAGACUUCCGGUUUCUGGGAAUCAGAGUCCAUGAUGGCAGAGGAAGGUCUCUGGGCCAUCUAGUCUCUGGUUCUUGAUCACCCAAGCAGUGUUGCAGUAUGGUUUCCAUCUCGUGGAGUGGGCCUUAAGUCAAAUCAUACAUUGGAUGGUUACUCCCACAAGCUUUGUGCCACCAUUGCCCUAGCAUAUUUUGCAGGCAGAACAGCAUUGUGGAUCAAAGAGUUUAUGGUUAAGUUGGUGUGUACAUUUCUCUUUUGGUAGCUUACAGAGUACCUUUCCAUGUUAUAGACACUAGAACAUUGGGAUGAAGGUUCUAUGUAAGCACCAGCUUGACCUCUGCAGGUUCAAUGAAUCGUGUGGGUGUUGUCUUCAGCAACAGGGCCUUGCUAGUCAUUUGUGGGGAGCAGUUUAUUGUUGUGGCAACAGUAGGAGUUGUUUGGGGAUUUUCAUAAGAGCCUUUCAACAAACAACUGAAUUGGAUAAAACUUGGUCCCAGUACUGGAAGCUUCGUUUGGUGGCAAGAGAUGGACAGUGGGAGUUAUAUCUCCCUCGUUAUUUGGAGACUUCACUAGGAUCACCUUAAUAUGUUGUGGGAAAGCUCCACUGCACUAGAUGGGAAGGGGGAAGAGGUUUGGGACUAAGGGAGGGAAUGAGGGGAGAGACAACUAGAAUUGAAGGGCAUUUGAGGGGUGGUGUGGAAGCCUACUCAGACAUUUCCAAAUAUACCUCAAAAAGAAGCCAAAAGUAACAAUAACACUGUUCCUGGAUAAUUUUGAGCUUCUUUUUUAGUAUUAAGCUGGUGGGAUGGCUAUUCUUGUUUGUCUACAUCUGGAAUUAAGUAAAAACCCAAACUGCUGGGCAAACCCAUGAGGGAUAUUUUUUGGGGGGGACGGGGAUGGAUCAUUUGAGCUGGGAAGCCCACCCUCAGUCUUGGCCAUACCUUUUUGUGGCAGCCUGUAUAAAGGACAUGGAAGAAAGAGGCUUUUGAAUUUUGCCUGCUUGUCCUCAUUCUGGCAACCUUCAUAUAUCCUGCUGAGAAGCAUUCAUUCCUCCACUGGUAUUAGAACCCACUUCUUCAGGAUUCCAGUGAAUUCUGAACACCAGCUGAGACCAUACAUAUAUAUGGGAUUCAUUAGAAUAUAUAUAUAUAUAUAUAUGUGUGUGUGUGUGUGUGUGUGUGUGUGUGUGUGUGUGUCAGUAUGUAUGUGUGUGUAAUUCUAUCAGUUCUGUUCCUUUAAAGGACUCAGACUAAUAUAUCUGAUAGAUAUAAAUUUUAUUUUGUAAGAAUACAAAAUAAUUACAGUUCCCAUUGUGAUACUAUGAUCAAAAAGAUACCGAGCCACAUCAUGAUUGCAAAGUAGGACAAUGGAAGUUUUAUAAAGGCAAUAUAUCUCAUAGAUAAAAAGAAGAGCCGUGAUCCGCUAGAAAGUAAAUCCCAAAGAAGGCACAAGUGUCAUGUGUGAGAGACAGUGUCCAUAUGUCAGUAAGAGAGACAAUGCCUGUAGUCCGUGAGAAAAGAACCACUCUGUGAUCUGAGAACAUCCUAGUGUGGAAAACAGGUCUAAAACGACAACCAAAGUCCUCAUUUAAUUAAAGCACCAUCAAGAAAUAACAGACUUAAGAGAAUGAAGAGAUUGCCUGCAGAAUGGGAGAGAAGAUUUGAAAGUCAUAUGAGUUCUAUAUGAUAAGAAUUCCAUAUCAAGAACAUAAAGAAUUUACAAAUAAGCAAUAAAAGAUGACUCAGAUUUUAUGACUAUGUAUGUGAGAUUGGAAUGGAUAUAUUUCCAUGGACUGACUCUCCUCAAUAUGACCACAGUUCCUGACAAAAUGUUAAGUGUGGAAUGAUCUCUUUUGCUGGUGGUUUCUGAAGUUGCAGACACUCAACAUGAGAAAGCUUUUAGAAGCAGCAAAUGACUUCUGGACAAGACGACUCUUGACUACCAAGCUGCCCAAAGGAGAUUUCCCAGACCUGUUAGAGACUGGCAAGUCCUACAGAGAGAUCCAGAGCUGCAGCUUUCCCCAGUCCUCACCUCUGCUGGGGUGAGAUUGAGUCACAUCUUCUCCUAUAAGAAAUCCCUCGCCAAUACUUCUGUUAGUAACUCCAAUAAAAACUCACUGUUUCACCAAGUUG